GGAGCCUCACCGUUUGGCUUCUGACACAGGGUAAUGCCUGCAGUAGGCUGCCAGUGUGAACAAAGAGGAAGAAAAUGAAAAGCAGGCCCAAACCACAGAGACACACCUGGUGGUUUGAGAGAAGGCGGCCUGGCGUCAGCCCACGCGAUGGCCUGGAGAAGUCACAUGAGUCAGUCAAGCACCAGGCUGUGAUCAGCUCUGUAAGGACCAUGGUCCAUCUCCCCAGGGCCCCGGGGACUCCUGUGCAGCAGAGAAGGGUCCUGCUUCCAUCCUCCAGAGCUUGAUCCAAAGAAAGUUCCUGCUGAAGAACCUAAGGAUACAGCGUGGUUGUUAGAAUGGCUGCCUAGCACACAGCCCGGAGCUACAGCGUGGCUAUUAGAAUGGCUGCCCAGCACACUGCCCGGUGCUACAUGAGCCAGUACACAUCGCGGCUUCCAUCUCGGCUUCCACGCGUUUGUGAUCCCAGCACUGGGGAAGAGGAGGCGAAGUAGAGGUAGGAGAAUCAGAAGGUCGACGUCAUCCUCAGCUACACAGUGGGUGUGAAGCCAGCCUAGGAUAUGUGAGACUGUCUCAAACAUUCUGUCCAGAAGCUGGAGAGAUGCUUCAGUGAUUAAGAGCACUGGCUACAUUUCUAAUCAACCAGAGUUUGAGUCCUGGUACCCACUGAGGGGGUCACAACUUGCUAUAACUCCAGUUCCAGGAGAUCUGAUGACUUUUUCUGGCCUCUGAUAUGCAAGUGGUGCACAGACAUACAUGCAGGUGAAACACACACAUAAAUAAAAUAAAAUACAGAUGGGCUGUGGUGUCUGGGCACCUCCUUCAUCUUGCCAGGGAUCGAGCCUCUGACUGCUUUGACCACGAAUCUAGAAAGGCCCCAGCUACCUUCUGGCCCUACUGCAGAUGGAAAUCCUACUGUUUAUCCCUCAAGCCAUUGGCUGUUGUGUGAGAAAAUGACUCUUAGCCGGAGAAUACCAUAGGUGGAGAAGAAUCCCAGCUGAAUCCAACCUCAUAGUUCCCACCAAACAGCCAGGAGUAUUGUGUGCCAAUAAGCCCUUCAGAUGAGUCUGCUGCCAGCCCAAUGCCACUCAGUCACCACUGCCACUACCCCAUGCCAGGGAGAGUCAAAGAUCUGCCCAGCUGACCUGGCCUGAAUUCCUGACCUGUAAAACCAAGAGAUGCGAUAAAAUGUUUGUCUU